GCUACCAAAAGGAAAUUUAAAUUUAAGACAACGUGUCAUCCUCCUUUUGCAUAGUUUUAACUUUUAAAUGUUAGUUUUUUCUCCGUGAAGUUCAGGUUGACGGCGGUACUUUGACGAGGCAUGCAGCGGCCCAUGUUUCUACUUGACUCACGGAGGGUUUAAAAUCAGGGAUAACUGCAAGAAAGAGCACUGACAUGUUUUCAAAAGUACUUGUCACAGGAACAUCUGCCAUCCUGGAACACAUGAACCCGACUGGCAUCUUUGCAGAUGAUUAGCCUUUUUUCCAGCUUAGAGAUGAGAGCAGUGGCCGCAUGGCAAUCGUCACAAACUCGGACCUUUUGCAUAGUUUUAACUUUUAAAUGUUAGUUUUUUCUCCGUGAAGUUCAGGUUGGCGGCAGUACUUUGACGAGGCAUGCAGCGGCCCAUGUUUCUGCUUGACUCACGGAGGGUUUAAAACCAGGGAUAACUGCAAGAAAGAGCACUGACAUGUUUUCAAAAUUUGUUGCUGAGAAUGAAAGAGGAGGGCUAUGUGAGCGAUGUGAUCAACGUUCUAAAAGACAUACCUG
rnacentral:lncRNA from 1 species